AUUAUGAUGAAAUAUUUUAUUAUUUCUAUUGUUUUCGUGCUCGCGCGCGGGAAAAUUAGCACCACGCAGUACUUUCGCGCCAUUUUUCUUGUUAUGACAUGUGACUGUAUUCGAAGCGAAAGAGCGCUAAUCAAUUAAGUACGGCUCAUGAAAAGCACGCCUGUCUAAAUCAAAAUUAAAAGUUCGCCUAUUUUACUCGAGUAAAAUAUGAAUUAAGUUCGGC